UUAGGUUUUCAACUUAGAGAGAAGAGUUCAAGUCUCUUUGGGAGUG
rnacentral:tRNA from 1 species